UACGGGGGGAGCAAGCGUUGUUCGGAUUUACUGGGCGUAAAGGGCGCGUAGGCGGCGUGGUAAGUCACUUGUGAAAUCUCCGAGCUUAACUCGGAACGGUCAAGUGAUACUGCUGUGCUAGAGUGCGGAAGGGGCAACUGGAAUUCUCGGUGUAGCGGUGAAAUGCGUAGAUAUCGAGAGGAACACCUGCGGCGAAAGCGGCCUUCUGGACGAGGACUGACGCUGAGACGCGAAAGCGUGGGGAGCAAACAGG
rnacentral:rRNA from 1 species